rfam:Loxodonta africana unplaced genomic scaffold scaffold_44, whole genome shotgun sequence.
ACAAAGGCCCUUUUCAGGGCCAUCCAUCUUUUCACUUGAAAGAGCC